AUACAGAUGAUGAAUCCCAAAUAGGACGAAAUACGCGUCCUGGAU
rfam:Trichobilharzia regenti genome assembly, scaffold: TRE_scaffold0040467